AUACGUAGGGGGCGAGCGUUGUCCGGAAUGAUUGGGCGUAAAGGGCGCGCAGGCGGCCCGGUAAGUCUGGAGUGAAAGUCCUGUUUUUAAGAUGGGAAUUGCUUUGGAUACUGUCGGGCUUGAGUGCAGGAGAGGUAAGUGGAAUUCCCAGUGUAGCGGUGAAAUGCGUAGAGAUUGGGAGGAACACCAGUGGCGAAGGCGACUUACUGGACUGUAACUGACGCUGAGGCGCGAAAGCCAGGGGAGCGAACGGGAUUAGAUACCCUGGUAGUCCACGUCCUAAACGAUGAAUACUAGGUGUGGGGGGACUGACCCCCUCCGUGCCGGAGUAAACACAAUAAGUAUUCCACCUGGGGAGUACGACCGCAAGGUUGAAACUCAAAUGAAUUGACGGGG
rnacentral:rRNA from 1 species